rnacentral:rRNA from 1 species
CAAUAGCGUAUAUUUAAGUUGCUGCAGUUAAAAAGCUCGUAGUUGGAUUUCGGGUGGGAAUGGCCGGUCCGCCGUUUCGGUGUGCACUUGCUACGCCCACCUUGCUGCCGGGGACGUGCUCUUGAGUUCACGCUCGGGACACGGAGUCGGCGAGGUUACUUUGAGUAAAUUAGAGUGUUCAAAGCAGGCCUACGCUCUGAAUACAUUAGCAUGGAAUAAUGGAAUAGGACUUUGGUGCCAUUCUGUUGGUUUAUGGAACCGAAGUAAUGAUUAAUAGGGACAGUUGGGGCCGUUUAUAUUUCGUUGUCAGAGGUGAAAUUCUUGGAUUUACGAAAGAUAAACUUCUGCGAAAGCAUUCGGCAAGGAUGUUUUCAUUGA